ACUAACCAGCCGCUCAACAGCUGAGACCGUCCAAGAGCCAGAGAACUAGCUCUUGCCAGCGGAUCAAGACUUGCUGAUCCGGAGGUCUACGUCGAGAGCCACGAACCGCCAUCAGCUGCCACCUCACUCAGUGCUCUGGCUGUGAUGCUGCUGGUGUCUCCACAUCAAUGGCAGCCUCGUGCCAUCUUGUUUGUCCGGCACUGGGUUCCUCCUCAAGAUUCUUCUCUGCUGUUUGCCACGGUCUCAGCAGUUAUUAGAUGUUCCUUCUUCAGCCUGUGGGGUCGUGCUCCCAAAUUCAGCCAUUAAGAUGAUCACGCUAGACCCGACGGCCCUUGGUACAAUGACAGCAGCCCAGGGGGAAUCCUGUGUUAUCAUUAAAUGCCAUGUCUGUGCCUGACAAUCAGGACAAUGUGUCUUCACUCCACUGAAAUUUCUGAAAUUUCCAUUCUGUUUAAGUUUUGAUCAGUAAAGUAAAUCAUUAAAAUGUAA